AAAGCUAAAGGAAUCAAAAUCUUCUGAAACAAAACAUUGUUCUCGUUUGUAAUGGGAGAUUUCGCGUGCGUCUCUUUGAAACCAUCUUCACAAGUGCCCGGUUCAUCCAAAGCAGCACUCAGAUCCACAUUAGCACUUUUGUAAUCGGCGGAUUUAACGUUCAUCAAAGCUUCAUUUAAAGAAUUAUUAGCAUCGUCAUAAAGCUCUACGCAAGUGCUUAAUGCAGGUUCAGUACCCGGUGGAUACGUUUUGUUCUUGAGAAUAGUCUCAACUAUCCCUUUCAAGUUAGUUGUUUUGGACUCAGCGUUAGUAGUUGACGCUAGGACCAAUCCUGAUAGACUAGUUGCGGUUUUGCUUUGCGGAUCUUGUUCAAGUGAUUGGACGCAAAAAUCAUAAUUGAGAUUAGGGUCUUUUGCUGCAGCUGUUUUGCAGGAAUCUCGAAUCAAGGUUUGUGCGGCUGCGAAACAGUUUAGGAGGAGAAAGAACAUUACAACUGAAACGAAGAACUUCAUGAUUUUGUUUUCUUUGUGAGAGAUGAGAAGAGAUGAAUAUGAUGUUAACUUUGUGAUUCACAAGGCUGAUAUAUAUAUAUAUAUAUAUAUAUAUAUAUAUAUAUAUAUAUUUUAUAUAUUAUAUAUAUCUGACGUAAGGGUAUAUGUCAUUGUUUCCUGUUGUCUUGUGUGUUAUAAACUUAUGAUAAAAAGAAUAUUUCAGUUUUAAUAAGAAGACAUUAUUUCAUAUUAAGAACUAUGUUUACAUUUUUAAAAACUAUAAUAUAUUCACUUGGACUAUUUCUCAAAUUGUCAAUUUAACUGAACCUGGUCAAUAUGUAACAAUAGUUUUCCAUAUAUACACGUUGUCAGAUUUAGUCAACUCUCAGAGCAUCAUUACUGGUUCAAUUUCUUAGUGGAGUACCUGAUGAGUUUAAUAUUAAUAGAGUUUUAUUGUGUAAUUAAAAUUAAACCCAAUGAUAUGUACAUAACCAUUCGUAAAGUAACAUGUGGCAUAAAUCUCUGAUAAACUUGGCAAAGUCUAUGUGCGACCAGACGUUUCUUCCCAUUUGACGCUCUCUCUCUCUCCUGCUUUAUUAAUUUUUAUUAUUAUAAAUGUCAGUCUCAUGAGUUACUCUUCCACUGCAUGUGCUCUUACUUUCCAAAUCAUACAUAAAAUAUCAAAAAUGAGAUCUCUUCUACAGUUAUUAAAAAACAAAAAUAUACCUUUUAAUAUUGAUUUUCUCAAAAAUCAUAUUUGAGAUUAGGGUCUUUUGCUGCAGCUGUUUUGCAAGAAUCUCGAAUCAAGGUUUGUGCGGCAGCGAAACAAUUUAAGAGGAGAAAAAACAUUACAACUGAAACGAAGAACUUCAUGCUUUUGUUUUCUUUGUGAGAGAUGAGAAGAGAUGACUAUGAUGUUAACUUUGUGAUUCACAAAGCUGUUAUAUAAUAUAUAUAUAUAUAUAUAUAUAUAUAAUGUAAGGGUAUAUAUUCUCCUUUCUUAUAUGUCAUUAUUUCUUGUUUUCUUGUUUGUUAUGAAUUUAUCAUAAAGAGAAUAUUUCAGGUUUAAUAAGAAUAUACUAUUUCAUAUUAAGAACUCGAUUUACAUUUUUAAAAAAUCAUAAUAUAUUCACUUUUAAGGAUUAUUUCUCAAAUUAUAAAAAUCAUAAUAUAUUCACUAAUUUUCAAAAACCGGGUCCAUUAAGUUGUGAUAUAAGGACAGACCUUCACUUCUUUCUUGCACUAUUCGCAGGCCCCACUGACACGUGGCGGCCUGGAAUUGGUUCGCUUUCUAAUUUUUUUUAGCAGACCAAACAAAAAUCAAAAAAACCUUCCUAUGAAACCGCGCAGACUCAUCUCAGCGUUAAUCAUGCUCUUAGCUUUCCGUAUCAUACAUAAAAUAUCAAAAGUGAGAUGUCUUCUACAAUUAUUAAAAAUACAUAUAUAUAUAUAUAUAUAUAUAUAUAUAUAUAUAUAUAUAUAUAUAUAUAUACCUUUUAAUAUUGAUUUUCUCAUCAAUUUUUCAUAUAGAGGUCGACAUCCAAAAAUCCUAAAUAAAAGAAUUUGUAUUCACUAAAUAUUUAAGUAACAUCUGUAUCACGAAAAACCUUCAAUCUCAUUAUUUAUUCAUCACGCAAAAAAAUGAUCAGUACUACUCGUAAAAAAGUGAUGUUGUGCAUUUUUAAAAAUAAAUAUUUAAUUAUUAAAAUAAAAAUACAGACACUAUAGAAAAUUAAAUAAAAGAAAAUUCCUCAAAAACAAAAAAAAAUUGAAAAUUAAAAAAUAAAUCAAAAUAUUCAAACAAUUUUUCAAUACGUUAAAAAAAGAUUGAAAACUGAAAAAGUUACAGAAAAAAAUAUUUUAAAAUUUUCCUCACAUAUCAUCGUUGAUAAUAAUGAUUUCUGACAUAUCACUAAUGACGAUGACAAUGACAGUGAUAUGUUGAAAACCGUCAACUCAUCGAUUUGUCAACGAUGUUAAGUCGAAAAUUGUGAUCAGACACAUAAAGUAUUUUAAUUUUCUGUCUUUUUGCAAAUACUAUUUUAGUGUUUAAUAAUUUCAAUUUUCAAAUAGUAGCAAAAAUUUCCAAUAAAAUAAUGUUCCUUUGCUAUUAUUUAUUAUUAGAUAAAGGAAAAUUCAUAUCACAUAAUACAAGAAGUUAUGGUAAUUUCAUCAGAGCAUAUUUGUAAAAGCUAAAGGAAUCAAAAUCUUCUGAAACAAAACAUUGUUCUUGUUUGUAAUGGGAGAUUUCGCGUGCGUCUCUUUGAAACCAUCUUCACAAGUGCCCGGUUCAUCCGAAGCAGCACUCAGAUCCACAUUAGCACUUUUGUAAUCGGCGGAUUUAACGUUCAUCAAAGCUUCAUUUAAAGAAUUAUUAGCAUCGUCAUAAAGCUCUACGCAAGUGCUUAACGCAGGUUCAGUACCCGGUGGAUACGUUUUGUUCUUGAGAAUAGUCUCAAC
rnacentral:lncRNA from 1 species